AUUUUGUCUGUCUCCUUGCUUAUUUCUGCCCUCUUCGCUCGACUCAACCAUCUUAAUCUCUACUGCUUGUGAUUAUGGCUGAACCAAUAUACACUGUAGCUUCUGAUAGUGAAACUACUGGGGAAGAAAAAACAACAUCAACUUUUCCGGAAAUUGCAGUUGGAAUUGAUAUUGGUACUUCACAAUGUAGUAUUGCAGUUUGGAAUGGAUCUCAGGUAGAGCUUCUUAAGAACACUAGAAAUCAGAAAAUUAUGAGAUCAUAUGUCACCUUCAAGGAUGAGACUCCUUCUGGAGGAGUUAGUAAUGAGUUAAGCCAUGAGUAUGACAUGCUCUCUGGUGCUGCAAUUUUCAAUAUGAAACGCUUGAUUGGAAGAGUUGACACUGACCCAGUUGUUCAUGCAAGCAAGAGCCUUCCUUUUCUAGUGCAAACUUUGGACAUUGGUGUUCGCCCAUUUGUUGCAGCUUUGGUAAAUAAUGUAUGGAGAUCUACCACUCCUGAAGAAGUUCUGGCAAUCUUUAUCGUCGAACUGAAAGUGAUGGCUGAAUAUCAACUGAAGCGGCCAAUUAGAAAUGUUGUUUUGACAAUUCCAGUUUCAUUCAGCCGAUUUCAGCUUACUCGGGUUGAACGAGCUUGUGCAAUGGCUGGACUUCAAGUUAGAUUGAUGCCUGAACCAACAGCAGUAGCUUUAUUAUAUGCUCAACAACAGCAGCAGGCUGUACAUGAGGGCAUGGGCAGUGGAAGUGAAAAAAUUGCCCUUAUUUUCAACAUGGGAGCUGGGUAUUGUGAUGUUGCUGUGUCGGCGGUAGGAGGAGGAGUGUCACAGAUCAGAGCCCUGGCUGGAAGUCCGAUAGGAGGUGAAGAUCUACUUCAAAACACCAUGAAGUAUCUUUUGCCAAAUUCUGAAUCUAUAUUCUCACACCGUGGAAUUGAUGAGAUCAGAAGGAUGGGCUUGCUCCGAGUUGCGACUCAAGAUGCUAUCCACAAGCUUUCAUACCAGUCUAGUGUUCAAAUCGAUGUCAACUUGGGAAAUGGGUCAAAGUUACGCAAGGUUCUAAGCCGAGAGGAGUUUGAGAUGGUGAAUAGCAAGGUGUUUGAGAAAUGCGAGAACCUCAUAAAGCAAUGCUUGCAUGAUGCAAGGGUAGGGACCGAAGAUUUGAGCGAUGUAGUAGUAGUUGGUGGAUGUUCAUACAUACCAAAGAUCAGAAAUCUUCUGAUGGAAAUAAGUAAAAAGAAGGCACUUUAUGAAGGAAUAGAUCCUUUAGAAGCUGCCGUUUCUGGUGCAGCUUUAGAAGGUGCAAUAGCAUCAGGUAUUGGCGAUCCAUUUGGCAGUUUAGAUCUUCUUAGCAUCCAAGUGACGCCUCUCGCCAUUGGAAUUCGAGCUGAUGGUAACAGCUUUAUUCCAAUUAUCCCCAAGAACACCACAAUGCCAGCACGCAAGGAGUUGGUUUUCACAACUGUUCAAGACAAUCAAAGUGAAGCCCUGAUUGUUGUCUAUGA
rnacentral:misc_RNA from 1 species